rnacentral:rRNA from 1 species
GACGAACGCUGGCGGCGUGCCUAAUACAUGCAAGUAGAACGCAGUUGCGAACGGGUGAGUAACGCGUUUGUAACUGCCUGGGAGCGGGGGAUAACUCUUGGAAACGAUCGCUAAUACCUCAUACUACCUGAUGGACCUGCGUUGUAUUGGGUAGUUGGUGGGGUAACGGCUCACCAAGGCAACGAUACAUAGCCGGACUGAGAGGGUGAUCGGCCAACCUGGGACUGGGACACGGCCCAGACGCCUGCGGGAGGCAGCAGGAGGGAAUCUUCGGCAAUGGACGGAAGUCUGACCGAGCAACGCCGCGUGAGUGAAGAAGGUUUUCGGAUCGUAAAGCUCUGUUGUAAGAGAAGCGGUAUCUUACCAGAAAGGGACGGCUAACUACGUGCCAGCAGCCGCGGUAAUAC